GACGAACGCUGGCGGCGUGCUUAACACAUGCAAGUCGAACGAUGAAGCUGGAGCUUGCUCCGGUGGAUUAGUGGCGAACGGGUGAGUAACACGUGAGCAAUCUGCCCUUCACUCUGGGAUAACUGCGGGAAACUGUAGCUAAUACCGGAUACGAGACCUUGGGGCAUCCCAGGGUCUGGAAAGAAUUUCGGUGAAGGAUGAGCUCGCGGCCUAUCAGCUAGUUGGUGAGGUAAUGGCUCACCAAGGCGACGACGGGUAGCCGGCCUGAGGGGGUGACCGGCCACGCUGGGACUGAGACACGGCCCAGACUCCUACGGGAGGCAGCAGUGGGGAAUAUUGCACAAUGGGCGAAAGCCUGAUGCAGCAACGCCGCGUGAGGGAUGAAGGCCUUCGGUUUGUAAACCUCUUUUAGUAGGGAAGAAGCGCAAGUGACGGUACCUACAGAAAAAGCACCGGCUAACUACGUGCCAGCAGCCGCCGUAA
rnacentral:rRNA from 1 species